rnacentral:rRNA from 1 species
UACGUAGGGGGCUAGCGUUGUCCGGAUUUAUUGGGCGUAAAGAGCGUGUAGGCGGCCAUGUAGGUCCGGUGUGAAAACUCGAGGCUUAACCUCGAGAUGUCAUCGGAAACCAUUUGGCUAGAGUCCGGAAGAGGAGAGUGGAAUUCCUGGUGUAGCGGUGAAAUGCGCAGAUAUCAGGAAGAACACCGGUGGCGAAGGCGGAUUUCUGGACCAGUUCUGACACUGAUGAGCGAAAGCCAGGGGAGCAAACAGG